AUGAAAUCUACACCACCAUCUAGCGUUUCCAUAGUUUUAUUUCAAUGUUAUAAGAAGCCUAUAGAAAAAUAUUGUAAUUUCCUGAUAUACAGUACAAGCAUGAAUAUACAGCAGGAGUGGAAGGUAACCUGCCUCCUGGAGAGUUACUGUGUGUGUAGGCUUCUGCUUUGGGAUCUGGUUAGAGCACUGCUGGAGAAAAGCAGCUUUCCAGGAGGAGGGAUACCCACAGCAGCUCUACGGGAGGACGGUUACCCACAGCAGCUCUACCCACAGCAGCUCUACGGGAGGAGGGAUACCCACAGCAGCUCUACAGGAGGAGGGAUACCCACAGCAGCUCUACAGGAGGACGGUUACCCACAGCAGUUCUAUAGGAGGAGGGUUACCUACAGCAGUUCUACAGGAGGACGGUUACCCACAGCAACUCUACAGGAGGAGGGAUACCCACAGCAGUUCUACAGGAGGAGGGUUACCUACAGCAGUUCUACAGGAGGACGGUUACCCACAGCAACUCUACAGGAGGAGGGUUACCCACAGCAGCUCUACGGGAGGACGGUUACCCACAGCAGCUCUACAGGAGGACGGUUACCCACAGCAGCUCUACAGGAGGGUUACCCACAGCAGCUCUACAGGAGGAG
rnacentral:lncRNA from 1 species